AUUGAACGCUGGCGGAAUGCUUUACACAUGCAAGUCGAACGGCAGCACGGACUUCGGUCUGGUGGCGAGUGGCGAACGGGUGAGUAAUAUAUCGGAACGUGCCCAGUCGUGGGGGAUAACGUAGCGAAAGUUACGCUAAUACCGCAUACGAUCUAUGGAUGAAAGCGGGGGAUCGCAAGACCUCGCGCGAUUGGAGCGGCCGAUAUCAGAUUAGGUAGUUGGUGGGGUAAAGGCUCACCAGGCCAACGAUCUGUAGCUGGUCUGAGAGGACGACCAGCCACACUGGAACUGAGACACGGUCCAGACUCCUACGGGGGGCAGCAGUGGGGAAUUUUGGACAAUGGGCGAAAGCCUGAUCCAGCCAUUCCGCGUGCAGGAUGAAGGCCCUCGGGUUGUAAACUGCUUUUGUACAGAACGAAAAGGUUUCUACUAAUACUAGGAGCUCAUGACGGUACUGUAAGAAUAAGCACCGGCUAACUACGUGCCAGCAGCCGCCGUAA
rnacentral:rRNA from 1 species